CCUACGUGUGACAGCAGUGCGGAAUAUUUGUCAAUGGGCGCGAGUCUGAACCAGCCAAGUCUCGUGGAGGAUGACUGCCCUACGGGUUGUAAACUUCUUUUAUAAAGGAAUAAAGUGCGGCACGUGUGCCUUUUUGUAUGUACCUUAUGAAUAAGGUUCGGCUAACUCCGUGCCGGCAGCCGCGGUAAUACGGAGGAUCCGAGCGUUAUCCGGAUUUAUUGGGUUUAAAGGGAGAGUAGAUGGGUUGUUAAGUCAGUUGUGAAAGUUUGCGGCUCAACCGUAAAAUUUCAAUUGAAACUGGCAGCCUUGAGUACAGUUGAGGUAGGCGGAAUUCGUGGUGUAGCGGUGAAAUGCUUAGAUAUCACGAAGAACUCCGAUUGCGAAGGCAGCCUACUAAACUGCAACUGACAUUGAUGCUCGAAAGUGUGGGUAUCAAACAGGAUUAGAUACCCUAGUAGUC
rnacentral:rRNA from 1 species